GGACGACGCUGGCGGCGUGCCUAACACAUGCAAGUCGAACGGAGUUCAUUGGAUCAAGGCUUCGGCCAAGUGAAUUUGAACUUAGUGGCGAACGGGUGAGUAACGCGUGAGCAACCUGCCUUUCAGAGGGGGACAACAGUUGGAAACGACUGCUAAUACCGCAUAACACAUCGAGGGGCAUCCCCUUGAUGUCAAAGAUUUAUCGCUGAAAGAUGGGCUCGCGUCUGAUUAGAUAGUUGGUGAGGUAACGGCUCACCAAGCCGACGAUCGGUAGCCGGACUGAGAGGUUGAACGGCCACAUUGGGACUGAGACACGGCCCAGACUCCUACGGGAGGCAGCAGUGGGGAAUAUUGCACAAUGGGCGCAAGCCUGAUGCAGCAACGCCGCGUGAGGGAAGACGGUUUUCGGAUUGUAAACCUCUGUCUUUGGUGACGAAGAAGUGACGGUAGCCAAGGAGGAAGCCACGGCUAACUACGUG
rnacentral:rRNA from 1 species